CACGUAGGCACCAAGCGUUAUCCGGAUUUAUUGGGCGUAAAGAGCUCGUAGGCGGUUCGGUAAGUCGGGUGUGAAAACUCUGGGCUCAACCCAGAGAGGCCACCCGAUACUGCUGUGACUAGAGUGCGGUAGGGGAGCGGGGAAUUCCUGGUGUAGCGGUGAAAUGCGCAGAUAUCAGGAGGAACACCGGUGGCGAAGGCGGGUCUCUGGGCAACAACUGACGCUGAGGAGCGAAAGCGUGGGGAGCGAACAGG
rnacentral:rRNA from 1 species